AUCAUAAUAGAAGGCACCUUCAAGGCAGCAGGUCCCACCUGAUCUUGGAAGCUAAGCAGGGUCAGCCCGGGUUGGUACUUGGAUGGGAGACCGACAAGACGAUUAAGGAGUCAGUGGUC
rnacentral:rRNA from 11 species